AGAGUUUGAUCCUGGCUCAGGACGAACGCUGGCGGUGUGCUUAACACAUGCAAGUCGAACGGUAAGGCCCUUUCGGGGGUACACGAGUGGCGAACGGGUGAGUAACACGUGAGUAACCUGCCCUCAUCUCUGGGAUAACAGUCGGAAACGGUUGCUAAUACUGGAUAUGAGCUUGCAAGGCAUCUUGUGGGUUGGAAAGAUAUUUUUUGGUUGGGGAUGGACUCGCGGCCUAUCAGCUUGUUGGUGAGGUAGUGGCUCACCAAGGCUUCGACGGGUAGCCGGCCUGAGAGGGCGACCGGCCACAUUGGGACUGAGAUACGGCCCAGACUCCUACGGGAGGCAGCAGUGGGGAAUAUUGCACAAUGGGCGGAAGCCUGAUGCAGCAACGCCGCGUGCGGGAUGACGGCCUUCGGGUUGUAAACCGCUUUCAAUUGUGACGAAGCUUUUUGUGACGGUAGCAGUAGAAGAAGCACCGGCUAACUACGUGCCAGCAGCCGCGGUGAUACGUAGGGUGCGAGCGUUGUCCGGAUUUAUUGGGCGUAAAGAGCUUGUAGGCGGUUUGUCGCGUCGGGAGUGAAAACUUGGGGCUUAACUCUGAGCUUGCUUUCGAUACGGGCUGACUUGAGGGAGGUAGGGGAGAAUGGAAUUCCUGGUGGAGCGGUGGAAUGCGCAGAUAUCAGGAGGAACACCGGUGGCGAAGGCGGUUCUCUGGACCUUUCCUGACGCUGAGAAGCGAAAGCGUGGGGAGCAAACAGGCUUAGAUACCCUGGUAGUCCACGCUGUAAACGGUGGGUACUAGGUGUGGGUCGCAUUCCACGUGAUCCGUGCCGUAGCCAACGCAUUAAGUACCCCGCCUGGGGAGUACGGCCGCAAGGCUAAAACUCAAAGGAAUUGACGGGGCCCCGCACAAGCGGCGGAGCAUGCGGAUUAAUUCGAUGCAACGCGAAGAACCUUA
rnacentral:rRNA from 1 species